GACGUAGGGCGCGAGCGUUGUCCGGAUUUAUUGGGCGUAAAGAGCUCGUAGGCGGCUUGUUGCGUCGACUGUGAAAACCCGCAGCUUAACUGCGGGCCUGCAGUUGAUACGGGCAGGCUAGAGUUCGGUAGGGGAGACUGGAAUUCCGGUGUAGCGGUGAAAUGCGUAGAUAUCGGAAGGAACACCAGUGGCGAAAGCGGCUUCCUGGUCCAGCACCGACGUUCAGGCACGAAAGCGUGGGGAGCAAACAGG
rnacentral:rRNA from 1 species